rnacentral:rRNA from 1 species
AGUGAACGCUGGCGGUAGGCCUAACACAUGCAAGUCGAACGGCAGCACAGUAAGAGCUUGCUCUUACGGGUGGCGAGUGGCGGACGGGUGAGGAAUACAUCGGAAUCUACUUUUUCGUGGGGGAUAACGUAGGGAAACUUACGCUAAUACCGCAUACGACCUACGGGUGAAAGCAGGGGAUCUUCGGACCUUUCGCGAUUGAAUGAGCCGAUGUCGGAUUAGCUAGUUGGCGGGGUAAAGGCCCACCAAGGCGACGAUCCGUAGCUGGUCUGAGAGGAUGAUCAGCCACACUGGAACUGAGACACGGUCCAGACUACUACGGGAGGCAGCAGUGGGGAAUAUUGGACAAUGGGCGCAAGCCUGAUACAGCCAUACCGCGUGGGUGAAGAAGGCCUUCGGGUUGUAAAGCCCUUUUGUUGGGAAAGAAAAGCAGCAGGUUAAUACCCCGCUGUUCUGACGGUACCCAAAGAAUAAGCACCGGCUAACUUCGUG